rnacentral:rRNA from 1 species
AACGAACGCUGGCGGCAUGCCUAACACAUGCAAGUCGAACGAGACCUUCGGGUCUAGUGGCGCACGGGUGCGUAACGCGUGGGAACCUGCCCUUAGGUUCGGAAUAACUCCCCGAAAGGGGUGCUAAUACCGGAUAAUGUCUUCGGACCAAAGAGUUAUCGCUUUUGGAUGGGCCCGGGUUGGAUUAGCUAGUUGGUAGGGUAAAAGCCUACCAAGGCGACGAUCCAUAGCUGGUCUGAGAGGAUGAUCAGCCACACUGGGACUGAGACACGGCCCAGACUCCUACGGGAGGCAGCAGUGGGGAAUAUUGGACGAUGAGCGCAAGCCUGAUCCAGCAGUGCCGCGUGAGUGAUGAAGGCCUUAGGGUUGUACAGCUCUUUUACCCGGGAUGAUAAUGACAGUACCGGGAGAAUAAGCUCCGGCUAACUCCGUG